rnacentral:lncRNA from 1 species
CCAUUUUGCACACCCUGGUCAGAAUGAAACAUUCCUUGGGAACUUGGGCCAUGAGAAGCAUCCUUCCUGAUCACCUGACUGUAGAAACAUCCUUAUCGCACCCUCCCGGGCAAAGGCCCAACAGCCUGACUGCAGGAACAUCCUUGCCAUAUCCUGCUGGGCAGCAAGCUCUACCGCCCAGACCCCUCCUUCCC